rnacentral:lncRNA from 1 species
AGCCAGCUGGAAAUACAACAAAACGCCUCUCCCGCUCCUUUAGCAAAACAUGUGUCAGAGCAACGCAAGAUUUGAUUGGGACUGCUUUACUUCGUUAACAAUUACAUCUCCAAAGGUAACAUCAGGGGCCAGAACAGAGACACAGAAAUGUUCCUUAAAAUGUCAAAAUGAAAUAUUGUCUAUUAAAACAGAAGAAUUAAAAUAAACAAGAGAAGUUGGGCAUUGGUCAUCUGAUGGUUGUAACCUCCAGCUUUCCCAGGAAA